rnacentral:rRNA from 1 species
ACAAAUGCCUACAACAUAGUGUUAAUGCACUGGAUCCCAUUAGAACUCUGCAGUUAAGCGCACUCGGGCUAGAGUAGUACUGGGAUGGGUGACCGCCCAGGAAGUCCUAGUGUUUUGUC